rnacentral:rRNA from 1 species
UACGUAGGGGGCUAGCGUUGUCCGGAAUCAUUGGGCGUAAAGCGCGUGUAGGCGGUCCGGUAAGUCCGCUGUGAAAGUCGGGGGCUCAACCCUCGGAUGCCGGUGGAUACUGUCGGACUAGAGUCCGGAAGAGGCAAGUGGAAUUCCCGGUGUAGCGGUGAAAUGCGCAGAUAUCGGGAGGAACACCAAUGGCGAAGGCAGCUUGCUGGGACGGUACUGACGCUGAGGCGCGAAAGCGUGGGGAGCAAACAGG